rfam:Oryza brachyantha chromosome 1, whole genome shotgun sequence.
UUUUCGUUUUUCCGUGUCCAACGUUUGACCAUUCGUCUUAUUUGAAUAAUUUGUAUAAAAACUUAAAAGAAUUAGUCACGCAUAAACUAUUAUUCAUGUUUUAUUAUCUAGUAAGAAAAAAUAUUAAUCAUAAAAUUUUUUUAAAUAAGACGAAUGGUCAAACGUUAGACAAGAAAAAACGAAAAAUGAUCUUAUU